GAGGAAUGAAAUGGAGUGAAUGGAGAAUUUAAUCCUAUGUUCAUAUUCAAUAUUCAACGAAUCAAUAUCGUAAAAACCUAGUCCUAUGGAAACUCGAGAAAGCGUGAAACCGAUAGUAAAAGACAAGGAGUUCCAAUAAUGAUUACAUUUUAACAUCUUCGCUAUAAAAUAAGGAGCAAAAAGAAGAAAAAUAUUCUGAUAUUUUACAAUGCAGAUGACUUCUUGAACAACGUUAGGAAAUUUAUAUCUAUGGAGAUCGUUUAUAGCUUCCAUAAACAGUUUAUCAAGAAAUUUUGACGUAUGGCCAUAAACUAAUUUUAUUAAAUAACUAAACAAUUUUGCUUGAAUGUUUCCAGUUUGCCAAGAAAUUUUGACGAAUAGCCAUAAUUAUUGAACCACCCUGUAGAUGCAUUAUUCGCCAUGGAAAGGUCUACUUCUCCAAAUGAACUUUCCCUCGAACAAUAGUAUCGAACAAAGGGGACUACGAAACAGUUCUGGAAACGGGUUUUUACUUGGUUUGCAACCUUGCUCCGCUUUGAUUCUUCGAUCGCCUCCCUCUUUUAUUCGACACGUCAGAGGCUGCCUCAAUGAUUCAUCCACCUCACGCCUCUUCUACCCUCCCCUUGGAAAGGGCGAGUCGACACGCGAGAUCACGUAUCAUUUCCUUAUCCACAAGUAUUCAACGAUAAUUUCAUUCACUGUUAAAUAAUUUUUAUUAUUUAUACAUGUACCUAUAUGUAGAAGUUCAUAUACAGUGGUUGUAAGAAGUAUUUAUACGUCAUUAAUAUAUAUUAUAGUAUAUAAUAAAUAAAUACUAUUAUACUAUA